CCCGGUGGCUCAGACGGUAAGGCAUCUGCCUGCAAUGCGGGAGACCUGGGUUCAAUCCCUGCGUCGGGA
rnacentral:tRNA from 1 species